rnacentral:tRNA from 1 species
GCUGCGAUGGCCGAGUGGUUAAGGCGUUGGACUCGAAAUCCAAUGGGAUAUUCCCGCGCAGGUUCUAAUCCUGUUCGCAGCG